rnacentral:rRNA from 1 species
GGUUAAGCGACUAAGCGUACACGGUGGAUGCCCUGGCAGUCAGAGGCGAUGAAGGACGUGCUAAUCUGCGAUAAGCGUCGGUAAGGUGAUAUGAACCGUUAUAACCGGCGAUUUCCGAAUGGGGAAACCCAGUGUGAUUCGUCACACUAUCAUUAACUGAAUCCAUAGGUUAAUGAGGCGAACCGGGGGAACUGAAACAUCUAAGUACCCCGAGGAAAAGAAAUCAACCGAGAUUCCCCCAGUAGCGGCGAGCGAACGGGGAGGAGCCCAGAGCCUGAAUCAGUGUGUGUGUUAGUGGAAGCGUCUGGAAAGGCGCGCGAUACAGGGUGACAGCCCCGUACACAAAAAUGCACAUGCUGUGAGCUCGAUGAGUAGGGCGGGACACGUGGUAUCCUGUCUGAAUAUGGGGGGACCAUCCUCCAAGGCUAAAUACUCCUGACUGACCGAUAGUGAACCAGUACCGUGAGGGAAAGGCGAAAAGAACCCCGGCGAGGGGAGUGAAAAAGAACCUGAAACCGUGUACGUACAAGCAGUGGGAGCCUCUUAAUGGGGUGACUGCGUACCUUUUGUAUAAUGGGUCAGCGACUUAUAUUCUGUAGCAAGGUUAACCGAAUAGGGGAGCCGAAGGGAAACCGAGUCUUAACUGGGCGUUAAGUUGCAGGGUAUAGACCCGAAACCCGGUGAUCUAGCCAUGGGCAGGUUGAAGGUUGGGUAACACUAACUGGAGGACCGAACCGACUAAUGUUGAAAAAUUAGCGGAUGACUUGUGGCUGGGGGUGAAAGGCCAAUCAAACCGGGAGAUAGCUGGUUCUCCCCGAAAGCUAUUUAGGUAGCGCCUCGUGAAUUCAUCUCCGGGGGUAGAGCACUGUUUCGGCAAGGGGGUCAUCCCGACUUACCAACCCGAUGCAAACUGCGAAUACCGGAGAAUGUUAUCACGGGAGACACACGGCGGGUGCUAACGUCCGUCGUGAAGAGGGAAACAACCCAGACCGCCAGCUAAGGUCCCAAAGUCAUGGUUAAGUGGGAAACGAUGUGGGAAGGCCCAGACAGCCAGGAUGUUGGCUUAGAAGCAGCCAUCAUUUAAAGAAAGCGUAAUAGCUCACUGGUCGAGUCGGCCUGCGCGGAAGAUGUAACGGGGCUAAACCAUG